UUAAACCAUUUGAAGAGAAGAGUAAUCCAUUUUGGAAUUUUACAGAGAAGCCCGUUUAGCUGAGAGGGUCAAAGGAAGAUUUGGGUGAACAUGGCCUCUGAUGGGAUUAGUCGAUAUUAGACUUUUCCGGGAGCUCCCGUUAUAGAGAUAGAGUAUGUUGGUACUUGAGAGUGGCAUUCCAUAUGCAAAAUAGGUGGUAACGCGGAAAUAAUUCGUCCUUAUU
rnacentral:ncRNA from 1 species